AUUGAACGCUGGCGGCAGGCUUAACACAUGCAAGUCGAGCGGGGUGAUGGUGCUUGCACUAUCACUUAGCGGCGGACGGGUGAGUAAUGCUUAGGAAUCUGCCUAUUAGUAGGGGACAACAUCUCGAAAGGGAUGCUAAUACCGCAUACGUCCUACGGGAGAAAGCAGGGGAUCACUUGUGACCUUGCGCUAAUAGAUGAGCCUAAGUCGGAUUAGCUAGUUGGUGGGGUAAAGGCCUACCAAGGCGACGAUCUGUAGCGGGUCUGAGAGGAUGAUCCGCCACAGUGGGACUGAGACACGGCCCAGACGCCGACGGGAGGCAGCAGUGGGGAAUAUUGGACAAUGGGGGGAACCCUGAUCCUGCCAUGCCGCGUGUGUGAAGAAGGCCUUAUGGUUGUAAAGCACUUUAAGCGAGGAGGAGGCUCUUUUGGUUAAUACCCAAGAUGAGUGGACGUUACUCGCGGAAUAAGCACCGGCUAACUCUGUGCCAGCCGCCGCCGUAA
rnacentral:rRNA from 1 species